GACGAACGCUGGCGGCGUGCUUAACACAUGCAAGUCGAACGGAAAGGCCCCUUUGGGGGUACUCGAGUGGCUAACGGGUGAGUAACACGUGAGUAACCUGCCCUUGACUUCGGGAUAACUUCAGGAAACUGGGGCUAAUACCGGAUAGGAAUCCUUGCUGCAUGGUGGGGGGUGGAAAGCUUCGGCGGUUUUGGAUGGACUCGCGGCUUAUCAGCUUGUUGGUGGGGUAGUGGCUUACCAAGGCUUUGACGGGUAGCCGGCCUGAGAGGGCGACCGGCCACAUUGGGACUGAGAUACGGCCCAGACUCCUACGGGAGGCAGCAGUGGGGAAUAUUGCACAAUGGGCGGAAGCCUGAUGCAGCAACGCCGCGUGCGGGAUGACGGCCUUCGGGUUGUAAACCGCUUUCAGCAGGGGCGAAGCUUGUGGUGACGGUACCUGCAGAAGAAGCACCGGCGAACUACGU
rnacentral:rRNA from 1 species